UACGUAGGGGGCAAGCGUUGUUCGGAAUUACUGGGCGUAAAGUGUGCGCAGGCGGCCGAGCAAGUCGAGUGUGAAAGCCCCGAGCUUAACUUGGGAAUUGCGCUCGAAACUACUUGGCUGGAGUGUGGCAGAGGAAGGUGGAAUUCCAGGUGUAGCGGUGAAAUGCGUAGAGAUCUGGAGGAACACCGAUGGCGAAGGCAGCCUUCUGGGCCAACACUGACGCUCAUGCACGAAAGCGUGGGGAGCAAACAGG
rnacentral:rRNA from 1 species